GGAUGAACGCUGGCGGCGUGCCUCAAACAUGCAAGUCGAGCGGGGCUAUGUUGGACCGUAAGGGAAGAUAUAGCCUAGCGGCGAACGGGUGAGUAACACGUGGGUAACCUACCUGGAAGACAGGGAUAACGAUUCGAAAGGGUCGCUAAUACCUGAUAAUAUCUAACAGUCGGAUGACAGCUAGAAGAAAGGGGAAACCCGCUUUCAGAUGGGCCCGCGUCCCAUCAGCUAGUUGGUAAGGUAAAGGCUUACCAAGGCGACGACGGGUAGCCGGUCUGAGAGGAUGUACGGCCACACUGGGACUGAGAUACGGCCCAGACUCCUACGGGAGGCAGCAGUUGGGAAUCUUAGGCAAUGGGCGAAAGCCUGACCUAGCGACGCCGCGUGAGGGAAGAAGGCCUUCGGGUCGUAAACCUCUGUCAUGGGGGACGAAGGAAGUGACGGUACCCCAAGAGGAAGCCCCUGCUAACUACGUGCCAGCAGCCGCGGUAAUACGUAGGGGGCGAGCGUUAUCCGGAAUCAUUGGGCGUAAAGGGCGAGUAGGCGGUCUGUUAAGUCAGGUGUGAAAUUUCAGGGCUCAACCCUGAAACUGCGCUUGAAACUGGCAGGCUAGAGGACAGGAGAGGGAAGUGGAAUUCCCGGUGUAGCGGCGGAAUGCGUAGAUAUCGGGAGGAACACCAGUGGCGAAGGCGGCUUCCUGGACUGUACCUGACGCUGAGGAGCGAAAGCUGGGGGAGCAAACAGGAUUAGAUACCCUGGUAGUCCCAGCUGUAAACGAUGAGUGCUAGGUGUGGAGGGCUACAAUCCUCCGUGCCGCAGUUAACGCAAUAAGCACUCCGCCUGGGGAGUACGGCCGCAAGGCUAAAACUCAAAGGAAUUGACGGGGGCCCGCACAAGCGGCGGAGCAUGCGGAUUAAUUCGAUGCAACGCGAAGAACCUUACCAAGGCUUGACAUAUACCGGAAACAUCCAGAGAUGGGUGCCCCGCAAGGUCGGUAUACAGGUGGUGCAUGGUUGUCGUCAGCUCGUGUCGUGAGAUGUUGGGUUAAGUCCCGCAACGAGCGCAACCCUCGUUCUAUGUUGCCAGCGCGUAAUGGCAGGGACUCAUAGGAGACUGCCAGGGUCAACUCGGAGGAAGGUGGGGAUGACGUCAAAUCAUCAUGCCCCUUAUGUCUUAGGCUUCACGCAUGCUACAAUGGCCGGUACAAAGGGCUGCGAUACCGCGAGGUGGAGCGAAUCCCAAAAAACCGGUCUCAGUUCAGAUUGGGGUCUGCAACUCGACCCCAUGAAGUCGGAGUCGCUAGUAAUCGCAGAUCAGCAACGCUGCGGUGAAUACGUUCCCGGGCCU
rnacentral:rRNA from 1 species